rnacentral:rRNA from 1 species
UACGUAGGGGGCAAGCGUUGGUCCGGAGUUACUGGGCGUAAAGCGCACGCAGGCGGUCUCUUAAGUUUGGAGUGACAGUUGGUGGCUUAACUGCCAAAGUGCUUCGAAAACUGAGAGACUUGAGGGCUUCAGAGGGACACGGAAUUCCGGGUGGAGUGGUGAAAUGCGUAGAGAUCCGGAGGAACACCAAAGGCGAAGGCAGUGUCCUGGGGAGUACCUGACGCUCAGGUGCGGAAAGCCAGGGGAGGCGAACGGG